rfam:Capsicum annuum cultivar Zunla-1 chromosome 1, whole genome shotgun sequence
UGUUCAUGGUGUGGAAAAUCCUGAAGAAGAGCCUUGAAGCAUUCCCAACCAUGAUAGAAGUUUUCAUCAGGUUUCUGUUUGAAGCUCACUAUCUCACUGCAAAG